rnacentral:rRNA from 1 species
GGAAAGAUGAAAAGAACUUUGAAAAGAGAGUUAAACAGUACGUGAAAUUGUUGAAAGGGAAACGAUUGAAGUCAGUCGUGCUGGCGCGAAAUCAACCCUCUCGUCGAGAGGACACAUGGCGUGGCGAGCCUCAAAACCGUCACGAAGCGUGAACUCUUGGCGAAAAGGAGCACUUUCGUGUCCGCUGGUUAACAUCAAUUUCGAACGUCAUAAAAAGGCUGGAGGGAUGUGGCUCCUUCGGGAGUGUUAUAACCUUUAGCGGAAUGUGGUGGUCGGGAUUGAGGAUUGCAACGAAUACCUUUAGGGCUGUUCCACCUGGCUUCUCUUUGGCAUCCUGGUGACGACAGCUUGCUGACGUUGUUAGGAUUCGCCUUUGAACAGGCUAGAGUGUGAGCAAAUUCGUUAAGGAUGUUAACGUAAUGGCUUUAAACGACCCGUCUUGAAACACGGACCA